rnacentral:rRNA from 1 species
UACAGAGGGUGCGAGCGUUGUCCGGAAUCACUGGGCGUAAAGGGCCAGUAGGCGGCCAACUAAGUCCGACGUGAAAUCCCCAGGCUUAACCUGGGAACUGCGUCGGAUACUGGAUGGCUUGAAUUCGGGAGAGGGAUGCAGAAUUCCAGGUGUAGCGGUGAAAUGCGUAGAUAUCGAGAGGAACACCUGCGGCGAAGGCGGGUUGCUGGGCUGACACUGACGCUGAUGCGCGAAAGCCAGGGGAGCGAACGGG